rnacentral:lncRNA from 1 species
AAUCGAUAACUGCAACAGUGAUGUAAUGUGUGUGUCUAUUUUAGAGAGCAGAUGGUUGAUCUGGUGCUAAUUUGCCCAAUAUGGUAGCUACGUAGCAAUAAAAUUCCAAGACUGGCACAAGAAGGGCCUGGUUCCAGGGAUCACUGGAUCUAAAAGAAAAAAUCCAAUCAAUGAUGCAUCCCACUGGCAUUCCAAAGAGCAAGUAAACAAAAGAAAUUAUGGGUUUGGGCUCAGAAACCCCAACCCUCGGGAUUUCAGAAAACAAAACGACUCAUUGGCAAGAGGCACUGUAAUGACUCAGGUUCAAAUCCUACCUCUGUUAUUUACCAAUUGCAUAACUUUCAGCUUCAGUGUGACCUGACCCUGAGCUUUCCAAUCCAAAAAUAGAAGUAAUGUCUAUGUC